GACGAACGCUGGCGGCGUGCUUAACACAUGCAAGUCGAGCGGUAAGGCCCUUUCGGGGGUACACGAGCGGCGAACGGGUGAGUAACACGUGGGUGACCUGCCCUCAGCUCUGGGAUAAGCCUGGGAAACCGGGUCUAAUACUGGAUAUGACUCCAUGACGCAUGUUGUGGGGUGGAAAGCCUUGUGCGGCUGAGGAUGGGCCCGCGGCCUAUCAGCUUGUUGGGGGGUGAUGGCCUACCAAGGCGACGACGGGUAGCCGGCCUGAGAGGGCGACCGGCCACACUGGGACUGAGACACGGCCCAGACUCCUACGGGAGGCAGCAGCGGGGAAUCUUGCGCAAUGGGCGAAAGCCUGACGCAGCGAC
rnacentral:rRNA from 1 species